CUCGUAGGUGGCCAACUAAGUCAUGCGUGAAAUCCCUCGGCUUAACCGGGGAACUGCGUCUGAUACUGGAUGGCUUGAAUCCGGGAGAGGGAUGCGGAAUUCCAGGUGUAGCGGUGAAAUGCGUAGAUAUCUGGAGGAACACCGGUGGCGAAGGCGGCAUCCUGGACCGGCAUUGACACUGAGGAGCGAAAGCCAGGGAGCGAA
rnacentral:rRNA from 1 species